CAACUACCGUCAUGGCUUCCGACAGCUUUUGGACACCUCUUUGUUCCACCUCCUGUCUGACCCACGGCUUCAAUCCCUUUUGAAAAGCAAGCAAUGCUUCUUCAUCGGUCACAUCUGAAACUUGGAGCAUGAGUUCCUUGAACUCUUGAACAUACUCCCCCACUGUGCCCCGUUGCAUUAUCCCUUGUAACUUUGCCCGAGCUUCUUCCUCGGCAAAUUCUAGGUAAAACUGUCCCUUC
rnacentral:lncRNA from 1 species